GGAGACGAGCUCAUUGUGGAAUUGGGGCUUCUGUGGCCUUGAAUUGUAAUCUCCAGGUGUGCUGCCAGGUGGAGGCGCAAAUGUUGGCCUCUUGGAAGAGAGCAUCAGUGAGGGUGAGAGUCCUGUCUGUCCUUUGCAGCCCUCCGCAUACGGUGCCCUUUCUGCGAGUCAUGCUCCUUGGAAUUGGAGUGUUAAAAAGGUGGUAAAUUUCAUCUCAAGCUAAAUAUUGAGUUGAGACCGAUAGAAAACAAGUACCAUGAGGGAAAGAUGAAAAGGACUUUGAAAAGAGAGUUAGAAGUGCCUGAAAUUGCUGAAAACGAAGAGAAUGGAACUAGCACAGCUUUGCGAGAUUGUCACGUGGUAAAGUGCACCAGCGACACGUGUUGCUUCUCGCCUUGUGCGUCCACUCCAGCUCGUGGCCGAGGAAACCGCUAGGGAUGUGUUGCUCAGCUCGUGGGCGGGCAAAUGUUCUCUGCAGACUCUUUCGCGAGCUGA
rnacentral:rRNA from 1 species